AUCCAUUGCUCAAAGAGAAAAGCCAGAUGCCAUGUUGUGAGCCGUCAUAUGGAGAGACCCCUGUGAUAUCCUGGAGAGAGUAAAGAGAACAGGCUGCUGCUGAAAAGCCUGUGACCAAGAAGGAAUUUCAGGCUGAAAGAAAAUUUCAUGAACAAGAAGACCAAAACCAACCAAUGAACAAAAGACACAAGACUAAGCCAAGCCACAAAGAACAAGGAAAAGAGAUACAUCAACAGAACUAUUAUGCAAAAUAAGCAAGGUUCUAGCAAUAAAGCAGAACAGCUGAUCUGACCCAGAACUAUCAAGCUAAGAAUCGUGGAUCUGAGCCUGUGCAAAGUGAUAGUGAAAUACUACUUAAUCUAAUACUCUUCUCAGAAUAUACUACAUAAAAAUGAAAAUGCAAGAACUGUGAUGUGUUACCCAAAAGUCCAACCUGAUAAACCAGUAGAGGCAAAGAGACUCCAAAAUUGGAUCUUCUGGUUGGGCUGACUGACAAUGCUGAAUACUCCUGAAAUUGCCAGCUUGCUAGGUAAUAAAACUAAAAGAAUGCUGCACAUGGUCAGGCUGACCAAAAAGAUUGAUGGUGAGGUAUUAAGUUGUUUUCUCUUUUCUUCCAAAAGCUGAUGUAAAGUAGCAACUGAAAAUACAACAUAGCAU